CUUCGGGAGAAGGUACGCUCUCGACGGUGAAGUCCCUUGCGGAUGGAGCUAUUGAGAGUCGCAGAUACCAGGUGGCUGCAACUGUUUAUUAAAAACACAGCACUGUGCAAAAUCGUAAGAUGACGUAUACGGUGUGACGCCUGCCCGGUGCCGGAAGGUUAAUUGAUGGGGUUAGACUUCGGUCGAAGCUCUUGAUCGAAGCCCCGGUAAACGGCGGCCGUAACUAUAACGGUCCUAAGGUAGCGAAAUUCCUUGUCGGGUAAGUUCCGACCUGCACGAAUGGCGUAAUGAUGGCCACGCUGUCUCCACCCGAGACUCAGUGAAAUUGAAAUCGCUGUGAAGAUGCAGUGUACCCGCGGCUAGACGGAAAGACCCCGUGAACCUUUACUACAGCUUGGCACUGAACAUUGACCCUACAUGUGUAGGAUAGGUGGGAGGCUUUGAAGACGGUACGCCAGUAUCGUUGGAGCCGUCCUUGAAAUACCACCCUUGUAGUGUUGAUGUUCUAACGUCGACCCCUUAUCGGGGUUACGGACAGUGCCUGGUGGGUAGUUUGACUGGGGCGGUCUCCUCCCAAAGAGUAACGGAGGAGCACGAAGGUGGGCUAAUCACGGUUGGACAUCGUGAGGUUAGUGCAAUGGCAUAAGCCCGCUUGACUGCGAGAAUGACAAUUCGAGCAGGUGCGAAAGCAGGUCAUAGUGAUCCGGUGGUUCUGAAUGGAAGGGCCAUCGCUCAACGGAUAAAAGGUACUCCGGGGAUAACAGGCUGAUACCGCCCAAGAGUUCAUAUCGACGGCGGUGUUUGGCACCUCGAUGUCGGCUCAUCACAUCCUGGGGCUGAAGUCGGUCCCAAGGGUAUGGCUGUUCGCCAUUUAAAGUGGUACGCGAGCUGGGUUUAGAACGUCGUGAGACAGUUCGGUCCCUAUCUGCCGUGGGCGUUGGAAGAUUGAAGGGGGCUGCUCCUAGUACGAGAGGACCGGAGUGGACGAACCUCUGGUGUUCGGGUUGUGUCGCCAGACGCAUUGCCCGGUAGCUAAGUUCGGAAUCGAUAACCGCUGAAAGCAUCUAAGCGGGAAGCGAGCCCUGAGAUGAGUCUUCCCUGAUACUUUAAGUAUCCUAAAGGGUUGUCGGAGACUACGACGUUGAUAGGUCAGGUGUGUAAGUGCUGUGAGGCAUUGAGCUAACUGAUACUAAUUGCCCGUGAGGCUUAACCAU
rnacentral:rRNA from 1 species